CCUUAACAAGUUCUUCAUUGGUCAUUAUGUUCUACUGGUUUUUUUCAAUUUUUUUUUCCUUGGAAGUCUCUUCCUGGUUCUAAUUCACUUCAGUCUUGGUAAGGACUAUUCAAAGAAAUACCAAAAACUACUAAUUGAACAGAGCUGCUGUGUGAAUUCUAUGAAUAUUGAAACUCAUUGAAGGAGCUUAUUAUUUUGGAAUUAUUUUGAUAAGCAUCACUAGAACAGAGCUCCCCAGGCUUCCCAUGGAAUACAAAAGAAACUCCCUCCCAGCCCUUCACUCUUCUAGUCUGGACUCAAAGCAUCAACCAGAUCCCUGCAAGCAAGAAAACCAGGCCCAAGAGAGGAGCUCAGGAGGCCACAGAAAAGGUUAUACAUACCACCACCAAUACAGCCCAACUUCUGACCAAACUUUUUCUUUUCCCAUCUCCUUCCCAUGCCAUCCCAUUUCCUCCCUCCUUUCUUCUCCCCCAAACCCCCAUUGCCCAUCAAUAAAAGAGCAGAGGGAGAACCAG